CCAUAUUGAUAGACAUUUCAAAAGUAAAAGUCAUAAAUUAAAAAGUAACAUUCUGAAAACAACUGCUCAAAUCCGGCAAUUUGUUGAUCUUAAGAAAGCCCAUGUAAAAAAUUCCGUGAAAGCUGCCGAACUUGAACUUACAGUAUUUCUUCAUGAACAAAAUUUGCCUUUUCUCUUGAUUAAUCAUUUACCAAAGUUGAUAGCAUCUACAUGUCCCGGUUCAAGCAUUGCAAAACAAUUGGAAAUUGGAAGAACAAAGGCUACAAAUUUAACCAAAAAUCAGUUGAAGAAGCUCUAACAGAACUAAAAGAGCAUUUAAAUAUAAAUAAAUUAUAUAGCUUAAUAAUUGAUGAAACUACUGACAUCUCAACUAAAAAAUCCAUGGCUGUCAUUAUAAGAUUUCACGAUAAUGUUUCUAUAAAAGAUAGAUUUCUAGGGCUGAUAGAAGUUGAAAAUGGUACUGCCAAGUGUUUGUUUGAAACUGUUUUAAAACUUUUAAAAGAUAAUAAUAUAACUAUAGAAAAUAUGACUGGUUUAGGGGCCGAUAAUUUCUCUGUAAUGAUGGGUAAUAAAGUAGGGGUGCAAACCAAAUUUAGAGAAAUUAACCCUAUAAUAAUAGUCAUGGGUUGCAUAUGCCAUUCAUUACAUCUAUGUGCAUCAGCAGCAGCUGUAAAAUUGGCCAAGUCGGUAGAAGAAUUUUUGAGAAACAUCAUUAAUCACUUCUCAAAUAGUACAAGAGAAUUGAGGGUUUCAAAGAAUACCAGGAAUUUUCAAAAUUAAAACCUUUGAAACUUUUGAAAACAAGUCAGACAAGGUGGUUAUCAUUACAGGCGGCUGUUGAAAGGGUCCUUCAGUCAUGAGAUGCACUCAAACUAUAUUUUAUAAAUGCUGUUUUCACAGAUGAUUUGAGAAUUACGUCCCAAAUAUUAGAAAACUUGAAAACCCCAAUUUA